UACGUAGGAGCAGCAGUGUCGGUCGAAUCAUUGGGCGUAAAGCGCGCGUAGGUGGCCUCAUAAGUCCGCUGUGAAAAGUCAAAGGCUCAACCUUUGAAAGCCGGUGGAUACUGUGAGGCUAGAGUACGGAAGAGGCGAGUGGAAUUCCUGGUGUAGCGGUGGAAUGCGCAGAUAUCAGGAGGAACACCAAUAGCGAAGGCAGCUCACUGGACGUUACUGACACUGAGGAGCGAAAGCGUGGGGAGCGAACAGG
rnacentral:rRNA from 1 species